AAUCAACGCUGGCGGCGUGCCUCAGACAUGCAAGUCGAACGCGAAAGUCCCCUUCGGGGGACAAGUAGAGUGGCGCACGGGUGAGUAACACGUAGGUAAUCUACCUUCGGAUGGGGAAUAACAAUCGGAAACGGUUGCUAAUACCGCAUAAUGCAGCGGCACCUAAUGGUGACAGUUGUUAAAGCGGGGGAUCGAAAGACCUCGCGUCUGAAGAGGAGCCUGCGGCGGAUUAGCUAGUUGGUAAGGUAACGGCUUACCAAGGCGACGAUCCGUAGCCGGCCUGAGAGGGCGGUCGGCCACACUGACACUGACAUACGGGUCAGACUCCUACGGGAGGCAGCAGUCGGGAAUUUUGGGCAAUGGGCGAAAGCCUGACCCAGCAACGCCGCGUGAAGGAUGAAAUCCCUCGGGAUGUAAACUUCGCAAGAACGGGAAGAAUAAGUAGGGGACAA
rnacentral:rRNA from 1 species